rnacentral:rRNA from 1 species
GGACUACACGGGUUUCUAAUCCUGUUUGCUCCCCUUGCUCUCGCGCCUCAGCGUCAGGUGAUAGCUAGAAAACCGCUUUCGCCACCGGUGUUCUUCCACAUAUCUACGCAUUUCACCGCUACACGUGGAAUUCCAUUUUCUCCGCCAUCCCUCGAGAUUCAUAGUUUCAUAUGCAGCUCCGAAGUUGAGCUUCGGAAUUUCACAUCUGACUUUCAAAUCCGCCUACGCGCCCUUUACGCCCAAUAAAUCCGAUUAAUGCUUGCACCCUCCGUAUUACCGCGGCUGCUGGCAC